GAUGAAGAACGUAGCGAAAUGCGAUAAGUAAUGUGAAUUGCAGAAUUCAGUGAAUCACCGAAUCUUUGAACGCACAUUGCGCCCCCUGGUAUUCCGGGGGCAUGCCUGUUCGAGCGUCAUUUCACCACUCAAGCCUCGCUUGGUAUUGGGCAACGCGGUCCGCCGCGUGCCUCAAAUCGACCGGCUGGGUCUUCUGUCCCCUAAGCGUUGUGGAAACUAUUCGCUAAAGGGUGUUCGGGAGGCUACGCCGUAAAACAACCCCAUUUCUAAGGUUGACCUCGGAUCAGGUAGGGAUACCCGCUGAACUUAAGCAUAUCAAUAAGCGGAGGA
rnacentral:misc_RNA from 1 species